CCCGCCCCUAGAGGCAUUGAAGGCAUUGCUGCUGUGUCACGUGUGUCACUAGAUGGCAGAGAGGAGAGAGGUUAUGUCUACCCUCAGGGUUGUGACCUGUGAGCAUUUGAAUAACUAGAAGCUUAACAUU
ensembl:snoRNA LOC120102061 small nucleolar RNA SNORA17